rnacentral:snoRNA from 1 species
AUUCUCCCAGCUCUGCUCAGUUACACUUGGCUGAAGUAGUGUAAUUGUCGUAUUUGGUGAGAGAGAGAAACUGAGUUCAGGAUGCACGGCAGAGGGACCCUGUGAAAUGGUCUUCCUGUUCCUUUAAAAACUCUACAU